AUUGCACGCUGGCGGCAUGCCUAACACAUGCAAGUCGAACGAGUGGCGGACGGGCGAGUAAUGUCUGGGACACUGCCUGAUGGAGGGGGAUAACUACAGGAAACGGUAGCUAAUACCGCACACCAGCGGAUGCGCCCAGAUGGGAUUAGCUAGUGGGAUGAGUAAAAGGUCACCUAGGCGACGAUCCCAAGCUGGUCUGAGUGGAUGACAAACCGCACCGGAAAUUAUGCACAGUCCCAACUACUACGGAAGACAGCAGUGGAGAAAAUUGCACAAUGGGCACAAUCCUAAUGCAGCCAUGCCGCGUAUAUGAAGGAGGCCUACGGGUUGUAAAGUGAUUUCAACAGGGAGGCGGUACCCGCAGAAGAAACACCGGCUAACUCCGUGCCAGCAGCCGCAGUAAUAC
rnacentral:rRNA from 1 species